GCUGGAGACCGCGGGACCUGGCGCUGCAGCGAGGCUUGAACCCAGGAGUUUGAGACCAGCUUGGGCAAUAUAGUGAGACCACAUUUCUCCAAAAAAAAAAAAAAAAAAAAAAAAAAAAGCCAGGUGAGGUGGUGCACACCUGUUGUCUCAGCUACUUGGGAGGCUGAGGUGUGAGGAUCUCUUGAGUCCAGGAGGUGGAGGUUACAGUGAGCUGAGAUUGCACCAUUGCACUACAAUCUGGGCAACAGGGUGAGACCCUGUCUAAAAAAAAAAAAAAAUUAAACUAAAAAAAUUUUUUAAAUGGUGGAGAUAAAGUACCAAAAUAUGAGGCCUAGAAAGAUAUAGAAUAAGACUAAAGAAAGACUGGUGGGAGGUAAUUGAUACAUGGGGGCAGGUUUUUCCCAUGCUGCUCUCGUGAUAGUGAAUAAGUCUCAUGAGAUCUGAUCGUUUUAUAAAGGGGAGUUCUCCUGCACACACACUCUUGCCUGCUGCCAUGUAAGAUGUGCCUUUGCUCCUCUGCCUUCUGCUGUGAUUGUGAGACCUCCCCAGCCAUGUGGAACUGUGAGUCCAUUAAACCUCUUUUUCUUUAUAAAUUACCCAGUCUCGGGUAUGUCUUUAUUAGCAGUACUAAUACAUUAACCCACUAACCCACUAUUUGUAUCUGCUUGCUCCCAGGAGAGUUGAGUUGUAGACUACAAGAUAAAACAUAACUUAAAAAAUAAGGCACUAGGGUAGUUUAGUAAAACAAUGGCCAGCUUUGAAACCACUUAUCAAACUCUGGAACCUUGGAAAAAUUAACUAACCUACCAGAAUGUUACGUUUCCUCAUCUGUAAAAUGCAGUAACAACUUUACAGAGUUGUUGGGAAGAACCUGGAGAAGUGAGAAGACUGGAAAAGUUCUCAUUGUUCUGAGCUCAGUUAUUUUCUCUGUGCUACAGGGCAGAGGAUCCCUUGGCAUGAAAUAAGAGCUAAGUGGUCCAACAGGCGUUGAAGUGUUAAAACAAGAAUAGAGUAAGUCCUGUGCUAAUCCUGACACAAGAUAGCAGGCUCUGGGGAUGAUAAUGCCUGCUGCUGAUGGGCGGACCAGGGAUUAGCAACCAUCCAGGGAAUAUGCUUCAGAUAAACUAAACAGGAGAUUUUCAAACACCGCAUUCCCCUUAAACCUCCCAGGCUCCCAUCACUCCCAGCAAAGAGCCAGCCCGCUACUUUAUGGAGACAGGAGAGACUGUCAGACAGUUCCUGCUGCUGCCCAGGUGCAUCUGAUUUGCUGAAAUCUGUAAACUAAUUUAUUGGUAAGAGCCAGACUCUGUCUCCAAAAAAAAAGAAAAAAAAAAAAAAACUACAUACAUGACUGUUAAACAACAAAUGCAAAACUAUUUUGGAUUCAGUUUCAAAAUACAAAGUAGAGAUAAUAAGUGCUGUAAAAUGUCAAAAUAUGGAGAGAUCAGUGAAGACUCACUUCAUUGAUGCCAGGUUUUGAGUUUCUGGGUUAGGAAAGAUAAAGGUAACUAUUUUAAACAAGGACAUUUGAGGAGUGCAAAGUGGGAAGGGGUAAAGAUGAGUUCAGUUUGGGAUAUAUUAAAUUUAAGGCCCUGGUGAGAUAGCCAGAUGAGCACACGAGUUAGGAAGAUUUGCAGUCCCGUGUCCUUUGCUCCAUGCUCUGUGGUGUUGGACACCUUAUUUAGCUUCUUGAAGUCUCAGCUCCCUAUCUGGCAGCCGAUACUUCCCUGUAAGGAUUAAAGUGAGACAGUGAAUAAAAGGGUUUAGCUUAUUGCCUGGCAAUUAAGUAUCAGAAAGUAUAUAUUAAUAGGGUGAUGAAGGCCCCGCGUGGUGGCUCACGCCUGUAUCCUAGCACUUUGGGAGGCCAAGACAGGCUGAUUGCUUAA
rnacentral:lncRNA from 10 species